AUACGUAACCCUGAGGUGCUCUGUUUUCACAGAAGAUACUGUGUACUCGUUCAUAUGUGAUUAAAGGUGCAGUGUUUUGGGCUUUAAAUUAGAAUGAUUCUAACUUCUAUCUCCCGACUUUAAGGGACCUGGCAUGACUAAUUUAGUCACCUCUGUUUUAUGUGGGCUAUUUUACUUACCUCAUUUUCUUACUCAUUCUGUUUUUUUGUUUUGUUUGGUUUGGUUUUUUGGUUUUUUCUGUUUGUUUUUUGUUUUUUGUCUUUUUAUGGCCACACAUGUGGCAUAUGGGAAGUUUCUAGGCUAGGUAUCAAAUCGAAUCCAAGCUAUAGCUGCCAGCCUACACCACAGCCACAGCAACGUGGGAUCCUUAACCCACUGAGCAAGGCCAGGAGUUGAACCCACGUCCUCGUGGAUACUAGUCAGCUUCGUUUCCCUUGAGCCACGACUGGAACUCUGCUUAUCCUGAAUUUUGAGGUCACCAUCCUUUUUUACUUCUGUCUCAGUUGCUUAAUACUAUUAAACAACAUAUUGCUUAGUCUUGUUUUUCAGCUUUAUUAUCAAUGUGGUAUAUACCACUUGCAGACUUCUGCCACGUCCUCAUUUAAGGUUUAUCCAUGUUGAUAGCUGUAGUUGAUUCAUUGAUUUUCACUUCAAAGUGUGAAUGUGUCACAAUUCAUUCUGCUCUUGGUGGACAUUUACUUUAUUAGAUAUGCUUUUAUUGAAGGAGGAAAGGAGGACAGAAGAGGCACCAUUAAUAAGCAUUCUUGCUAUAGCAUUCUUCUGCUUGCUUGCCAUUGGGAAUGACUCAAUGCCAAAUUAUUAUUAUUAUUAUUUUGCUUUUUAGGGCCCCACCUGUGGCAUAUAGAAGUUUCCAGGCUAGGGGUAAAAUCGGAGCUGCAGCUGCUGGCUUAUGCCAUCAGCCACAGCAACUCGGGAUCCCAGCCUCGUCUGCAGCCUCCACCACACACAGCUCACAGCACUGCCGGAUCCUUUACCCACUGAGCAGGGCCAGGGAUCCAACCUGCAUCUUCACAGAUACUAGUUGGGUUUAUUACCGCUGAGCCACGCUGGGAACUCCAGUCCCAAAUUAAUUUGAAAAACAGUUACAUCCAUUUACCUUCCCACAUCCAAAAAUGUUGAAGUAAUUGUUUUACCCACAUUGACAUUAAUGGAUUUCUUACAUUUGUAAACUAACCAGGCCCCUGAGCAUCUUCUCGUGUUUAUUUAUUGUAGUUGUUUGAAAUACCUUUUCCUAAGUUGUACUCAUUUUCAUUUUCCUUUAGCUUUAUUUAUUUAUUUAUUUACUUAUUUUUUGCUUUUAAGGGCCACACUUGAGGAUAUGGAGGUUCCCAGGCUAGGGGUCCAGUCAGAGCUACAGCUGCCAGCCACAGCCACAGCCAUGCAGGAUCCGAGCUUCGUCUGAGACCUACACCACAGCUCACGGUAAUGCCAGAUCCUUAACCCACUGGGCGAGGCCAGGGAUCGAACCCAUAACCUCAUUGUUCCUAGUCGGAUUUGUUUCUACUGCGCCACAACGGAAACUCCAGUUUUGUCUUUUUAAAUUGAUUUGCAGGAGUUCUUUAUAGAGUUUUAGUCCUUUGUGUGUAAUACAUUUUGCAAAUAUUUUCCCCCUAAUUUAAUGUCUCACCACAACACUGUAUCUUUUGACAAACAGAAGAUCUUAAUUUUUUUAAAUUUUAUUUUCAUGGCCGCACCCACAGUAUAUGGAAGUUCCCAGGCCAGGGAUUGUAUCCAAGCCACAGCUGUGACCUACAUCACAGCUGCAGCAACUUCAGAUACUUAAAACCACUGUGCCAGGCCGGGGAGCGAACCUGUACCUCUGCAGCAACUUGAGGCACUGCAAUUGGAUUCUUAACCCGGAGUGCUACAGUGGGAACUCCCAAUCUUAAUUUUAUUUAUUUAUUUAUUUAUUUAUUGUCUUUUUGCCUUUUCUAGGGCCGCAACCGUGGCAUAUGGAGGUUCCCAGGCUCAGGGUCGAAUCGGAGCUGCAGCCACCAGCCUAUGCCAGAGCCACAGCAAUGCCAGAUCCAAGCCGUGUCUUUGACCCACACCGCAGCUCAUGGCAGUGCCAGAUCUUUAACCCACUGAGCAAGGCCAGGGAUCGUUUCUAGUUGGAUUCGUUAACCACUGUGCCAUGGCAGGAACUCUCCAAUCUUAAUUUUAAUAUAGGUGAAUUUAUGAAUCAUCGUUUUAUAGUUGGUGGGAAGAACACUACUUGAAGUCAAGUAUUCUAUUUUGUCUUCUAAAAGUUGUAAAGUUUUGCCUUUCAAGUGUAUGGUUUUUGCAUAUAGGGUGAGGAGUCAUGCAGCCUCUGACUCCCUUUUGGGCUUUGUGACCUCCUAUAAAUGAUUUCUUCCACAUCAAUGUCCUUGACUGCAAAAAUGAGACCCUGAUCCCUACUGUGUGUAAAGUUCUCGUGAGGUUAGAAUACAGCAUCCCAGCACACUGAGCCCCAAAUCUCAGUAGCUAUUCAGUAAUUGCUCCUUGGUCUAAGUCCAACUGCAUUCCCUAAGCAUGUGGACACUCAAGGAAAGUUGGCAAUUAACUGGGGAAGUUGUUGCUAGUACACAGCCUGCCAACUGCUACAACCAUCGCCAGGCUGGGUCUGAAUGCUCAGCAAAUCCCCCCACAGGGCACUGGCAGCUUGGAGAAUGUUCAUCCCUGUGCAGACUUGCCUGCUGCAGGCAGGUGCUCAGUCUUAGAGCUGAUUAGUGCAAAUCUGAUUCAUUGUAGAAAUGACUGCUUCCUAACUCCCUGGUACAGUCACAAAGUGGAGUCUGGACAUUCUAACCAGGAGCUUUGGGCCUUGAAAGGAGCUUGCUUAGUUUCUGCCAAUGACAACAUGUGCACACACGUUGUGCAUUCCUGUGAGCAAACAGGAGGCUUGGGAUCUGUUUUUGUUGUUGUUGUUGUUUUUCAUUUGGCCACCUCGAGGUAUUUGGAGUUCCUGGGGCAGGAUCAGAGCCGAGCUGCAGUUGUGACCUAUGCUGCAGGUGCGGCAGUGCUGGAUCCUUAACCCACUGUGCAGGGCUGGGGAUCAAACCUUUGUCCCAGCACUUCCAAGAUUGCUGCAGAUCCUGUUGCACCACAGCAGGAACUAAUGGUUGGUUUUUUUGUUUUUGUUUUUGUCACAACCUUGACUCAUGGGGAGAUAGAAGGGCUGGGAUUGUGUGGUGUACAAUUAGAGAUGUCUGUGAUCAGAGAGGCCUUGCGUUUCCCUCUGGAGAAAAGUAAUGACCACAAAGCAUGGGCGGGCAUUUCUUAGUGUGUUCUGGGAGGUCAGAUGUCAGAAAGGAGACCAAGCCUUGUUCAUGGAGUCUCUUGCAGUGGCUAUUGCACUCUCUUGAGCCUUUUUCAGUUGCACUUCCCAUUGUUCCUGCUUGCCAUUUUGAUCAGGAGCUUCCUUAUACAUGUUUUAUGGAGGGGACCACCGAGUUGGGCAGGCCAUCAAACAUUUGUUGAUCCUUUUCAACCCUGUAAUGUCCACACUUGAAAAACUGGAGACGUCCCAAUGAAAAACAGCUGGGUAGUGGUUUGUAAGCUUUGGUCUUUUGUGGUGGGUAGUGGCUGCCAUAUCACAGUUAAAGGUGACAGAUAGAAUCAAUACACAUGUCCCAUCCACACCAGAACACAGUAGGAAGGGAAUAUUGAUUGUAAAUAAUCCUGUGGGCUUACACAUGUGAAAAUAGAUGUUGUGAUUCCCUACUUGUGUAACUUUGUUAUCUUUUAUUGUGAUGACAGCUAAAUGUUUUAAUCAGGAGCGCUCAGUCAACAGGCAAAGUUGAUUUGUUUGUUGCUGCUUGCUCCCUCUAAACCAGAAGUGUUCUGUUUCCAGUAAAGUUGUUUGUCUCUCCAGCACUCGUUGCCUAGGAGUCCCCCUUCCAACCCUAUAGGAGCAAAGAUUUACUAGUCAAGAUUUAACCCAAACUGUAAAAUUGGGCCAAGGUCCUCUAGGAAAUAUUAAGUAUGAAAAAUUAUUCUACACAGUAGCUUUGUUUGAUCAGGGUAAGUUAAUUUUCUCAAAAGAUUAAUGAUAGAGCUCCAUGGUGGGUUAAGAAGGGUUAAGGAUCUGGCGCUGGCGCUGCCAUGGCUUGAGAUGCUUCUGUGGUGUGGAUCCAAUCCCUGGCCCUGGAACUUCUAUAUGCGUGGAUG
rnacentral:lncRNA from 1 species